rnacentral:lncRNA from 1 species
GGGCUGUGCAGUUUUCAGGAGAUGCCCGACGUUGCCAAGAAAUAAUAAUAAAGAGAGAAAGAAAGAAAAAGCAGCAGAAAGGCGAAGGCGAAGGAGCAGCCGCAGCCCCGCUCCUGGCAGCCCGCGGACGGAGCCGGUGCCGCGCUGUGUGCGGAGCAGCGAGCUCUAAUCUGUUCCUCUGGCUGACCCAGGGCUCAUUGCAUCUGAAUGUGACCUCUAGACAGAGCAUUAAUAACGAACGUGGCGCUGACCCAAGCUGACAAGGGGUGCGGCCGCUUGGCACCGGCUCCCUCCCUCCCUCUCUCACUUUCUGUCUCCCUCACUCUCAUCUGAAUGUCGGCGCAGGGGGAGGGAUCCAGGAAAACAAAGCUGGGCUCAUAGUUUCCUCCGCUCCAAAGUGAAUCGAAGGCGCGUUUCUUUGGGGAGGCGCGAGCCCGGCGCGGUGCGGUGCCCCGUACCCACGGAGAGGUUGGGGACGAGCGCCGGCAGCGCGUGGGCAUCGGCGGCAGCACGCAGGGCGGGCGCAGCCCCUGCCCCGACGGAUGGAUGGAGGACGCGGCGCAGUGGGAGGUUGGGAGCCGCGGUCGUGCGAUGGGCGCGAUGCUCCGGUAUCCAGAGCAGCGCCCGGCCUCUCUCGCACCCGGAGCGGAGGGACGGAGGCGCUUUUGGCACGGCCGAAACGCGCCAUAACCCAGCCCUGGAGAACCGCUGGCACCGCGCAGCCCGCGGUGCUGCGAACGCUGUCGGCAGCGCUGACGGCGGCUCCACGCACCGCCCUCCCCUGCUGCCACGCGUGGGAGACCGCGGCACAAAGAGUUUCACGGGCAGAAUGGGACUGGGAAAAAAAGAAUGGCUCAGGCUGGUCCAAAAUUCAUCUUACGUUCUGCGCUGCUUUGGAAAUCAGCCUUCAAAAAAAAAAAAUAAAACCCAACCAACCUUCUGUAUCCAAGGAAAUACUGUGCAUCCGCCCAAAAGGAACUACUGAGGAGUUUUCAUGGGUUAUUUAACUCUCUGACAUUGGCUUCUCACGUUCUGAAUUAAACACCGAAAGGCUCCCAUGAGAGCACGCACACGGCCAGCACACCGGGCCCCGCGUCACCGUGAGCCUCAGCCCUUCCAAAAGCCCCUUCCUCCGCUGCUCCAUGCUCACAAUGACAGAAAGCAAACUCACAGCACCUCCCACACUGCCCUGCCUGCACGGGAUGCGCCCACACGGUACCACCGGCAGCACCGGGCCGCCCAGUCCUGCCCCUCAGUGCCAGCAGAAGGAGGAAUGGUGCAGGGAGCACCGUGUAGCUCUGUCCUUUGUGCCAGGAGCACACGGCCUCGGCACGGCCUGGGAGGAACUCAGAUGAGCAAGAAGCUGCCAUCGGCACGUGACCACUUUUGGGAAUGCAAAACCACUUGUUAGAGGCUGGCAGUGGGGGAAAACCCAGAGCUGGGGCGAGAACAGAUAGCGGGCUUAAAGAGUAACGAAGGUCACGCAGAAACCUUCCGGUUCAUCGAGUUCAGCUCCACUGCUGCUGUGUGGCACAGCCCCGGUGGGGCACGGAGCAGUCCUCCCCUGCCUGCCUCCAGCUCCUGGGUGCUUGGGAUCCCCCAGAUGCCCAGACAUUGCCUUGUACAGAGCAGUACUCAGCUCAGCCAGGCCCAAAAUGCAACGGGGACCAGUGCUGAGCAGCUUGGUUAGCCAAAACCUCCUGCUUUUACCUGUAAUCACAGCCCCUGUGCAACAAGGCAGCAUCAGAAAAACAUGCUACCCCAUAAUUAUACCCAUCUCGGCACAUUUUGACAGACGAGUGAAUCAAAGUUUAUUGCAUAAUAAAAGUGUCAUUAAGCAAGAACUUUCCUCUCGCUAGGUUUUCGUUCCCCUAGUUAACUUUAAUAACACGCUACUCCCCUUUAUUGUCUCUCCCUGCAGACACACUCCUGCCCUCUCCUACUUGGAAGCGCUCUGUGCAGCUCUGCUCUCUCCCCACAAGGCUGCUGGCCCUGCUGCCAGCUCCCCAGCACGGGGCGGGUGCCGGAACACCACCAACGAUCAGCACGCAGCAAAUCCCUGCCCCAUUGUGGUCCCCAGGCCCAGCUUACAGGAGCAGGAACGUGUUCACACACUUCGUAUUUCACUGCUUUUAGGACUCCUUCAGUGCACAUCCAGCAUCAAACACCGAGAGGCACUUUUCUUGCAACCAGAUGCAAUCUCCAAAACAAAGGUCCCUGCGGCAGCGCUCCCCUCCUGGCACCUGCUCACCCCGCGCCUGGCACCGGGCCAUGCUGCCUGAUUAACGUCUAUCCAUUCAGGCUGCAUCUCUGGAGAGCAGCGAGCAGCAACACACAGGAUUGGCACUGGGCUGCAAAGAGGGCUGGAAUGGUUUAAGGCAAGCGAGCCAAGCGCUUCGGGACAUGCAGAGGCAAAGGAAUCCAAGUGCACGGCUCCACCAGCACCUGGGAGCUCUGGAACGUGCCACCAGCAUCCCUGCAGCAGGUGCACUGCCCAAACAGGGCCGUCCCCACACAGCACUCAUUUCCAUUUCAAUUUUACGCUUACAGCCCUCCUGGACCAGGGGGAGCAGCAGUGAGACAGGCAGGACGCACAGCCGGCAACUCAGCAGCAGAGCAAUGGGACGGGACUUUGGGCAAACGGACGGCGAGCACCGGCACUGCGAGGGGAAGCGCAGGCAGGGCAGUGCCACGCUCAGCACUUCUACAGAUGGCCCCAGCGAAGGUUCUGAAUACCAAUACCUCAGCCCAGGAUACCAAGCACCUGUGCCAGGGCUCAGCACCCACAAGGAUGGAGCUUCGGAGAGUGGUGUGGAGCCGUGCCCAGCACCAUGCACACCUGGAACGUCCAGUGGAGCGUCCUCCUUGCUCCCAUGCUGCCAUCCUGGGGAUCAGAACAGCUCCCGGAGCCCACAUGGCACCACCUGACACCCCUCUCACUUCCCCCCAACCCCUCAGCACCACGCAAGGAAAAAAGAAAGUGGCUUCUUACCCUUCUUGGCCGUUUCCAUCUCCUCUUCAGUCCAGCGAGAGCUUUCAUUCAUUUCCAGAGAGGCUGGGAGAGGAAGGAGAGAAGAGCGGUCAGAGGGAUGGGCUGAGUGAGCCCACACCAGCCCCGUGGGCACCGCAUCCCAAACCUACCCCAUGGACACCCCGUUCUAAACCAAACCACACAGACAUCCCAAACUGAUAGGGUGGGCACCGUGUCCCAAACCCCUCCGCAGACGCCAUGCCCCCGGCCCGCUCGCAGGAGGUGCACCGCAGCCCACGUGCAGCGCCCUCCCGGGAUGGAUGGCAGUGACGCACAGCUCCGCGUUGGUUUCUUUGGGGCUGGAAGCACAGCCAGAUGGAGGCACCAUAUUUCCUGCUGAACGGGCGCCAUGCUCUCUGGCCCGCCAACAACAGGUAGCUAAGCCGGAGCCGACACCGGCUGUGUGCUUUGGAGGUGGCAGACGUGGGGUGGGACCAUCACCCUCAGCAGAGACGGAGAAACAGCGUCACCCUGGCGACUCGGGCACGCCAACCGCAUCUGCCAAGGGAGCCGGCCCUGCUGACAGUGGCUGCUGAGGACAGCAACCCUGUCACCACGCUCUGGGACACCCCAGAGCCACAUCUGGGGGAAACCAACCCAGGGAUGUGCAGUAGCAGAGGGCAAUGGUCAGAGCAGGGGGUGGCUGUCACCACACCAUGCCUGGUGUGGGGACCCCGGGGUCCUGUGUGCAGCACUGCACACCCGUCCCGCUGGCAGCCUGGCACUAGAGCAAACCCUACAACAACAAGCCAGGCUGUGAGUCAGAGGCAAAAAAACAACGCGGUAAGGAAACAGAUUUCCGGUUCAGGCUGCCAAUGGGUUAUUACACUGAACAACAGGCGAAGCAUUAUUUCAACAGUGAUGAGAGAUGUUUUGACAGUGUCCUUUUAGAAUGGAAAACAGGCUGAUAGGUUAGGUUGGAGGAUGCAGACAAGGAGAGGAGCGACUUCCAGGGGCUGAACCUGGCAGGAGGACAUAUUGGUGUGUGAGACAGAGGAAUCCCCUUCCCAAACUACGGGGCACAGCUGCAGGUACCACCCGAGCAGGGCACUUCCUCCAGCCCCACAGCACAGGGAAAUGGAGACCUCCCGGCUAUCCCUGGACCGGGCACAGGCGGGGCUGCAGCUCUCACUUCCUUGUAGCUGGGUGUCCCCAGUGCUCUCAUUUACCUGAAGCCGUGUGUCACAAGGCUCUGAGAUGGCUGUUACUGCACGGCAAGGAGCCGUCAGAGCGAUGGCCCGUUUGCUUUGACUAACGAUAUUUACUGAGGUUGCGCAGUUAUGUAACAGAUGCCUACUGGGAGCUCCGGCACACUGCAGUUAAACCACAGUAUGGUUUCGUGUUGUUUUUUAAUGUUCAAUCAGCAUUUAAAACGCAAUAACUUCCUUCGCCAACCUAAAUUAAAGCACGAUUGGAGACAAAAAGAAUAACCAAUUGCUCAGAUCUGCCACUAGAAUCCGUCCACUUCCUUUUCCCAAUCUAACACGGUCUGAAGCCUUUCCUCCCCUCUCACGUGGCUCCAGGAUACCAGGAUGAAAAAUCCCAUCUGAGUUACUGGCGUUAUCUGCUGUUCUCUGCAGCUCUGCUGAACAAGUUUGAGACGGAGCGCAGGGCUCCGCUGUGCCGGGAACUAUUUAUAUCGGCGGUACGAGAGCAGCGCCCGCCAUCAGGCUUCAGCCAGUUGUCAGCAGAGAACAGGGAGCGAAACACCUCCGGGUGAUUUAUAGCACAUGGAACAGAGCGAGCAAGGAACUGCGGGGAAAGGAAACCGAGAGGAGUCACCCUGCUUUAUUUUCACUUGCCUCAGGUGGUGCGGUCAUAAUUUUGUACUUGACGGAGUACAAAACAUUGGAAAAUCAGCCAAAUCCUUCAUUUAUUUGCUGCUCUAAGUCGGUUUCCAUGGGUAACCGCUAUCAGGGCUGCAAACGCACGCGAUGCGUGGCAGAUGCACACGAGUGGGGCUGCGUAUGGUACCGUGAAUUCCUGCCUACCCCGGGCGGCCCUCGGAUGGGGCAGAAGAGCACUGGGGACAAACAGGGCAGAUCAGGGAACCGAGCGGGGAAAUGCUGCUCUGAGUGCAAGGCUGGGCUGCACGGCACGGCCGCAGCCGGGGCGCUGGCUCCCAGCACACAGCAGUGCAGCACCACGUGCUCUCCCCGCUCCGCGCACCCCCAGCUACGCACCCAGCUCGGCGCUCUGCUGCGGCGUGGCCGCCUCCUCGCUGUUGGCUUCGUUGGCCAUGGAGCGCGUGAUGCGGCCCUUGCGCCGGCCCUGGCUGUUGGCGGUUUUGCGGCCUUUGGAGGUGACGGUUUCCUUCUCAUCGUUGUCUUCCCCGGACGUGUCGUCGUUCUUGUCCUUUGUCAGUUCUUCUUUGUCAUUUUCUGUUUCCUGUUUGUCUUCCUCUUUGUCUCCCUCCUUCUCCUUUUCUUUCUCUUUUUCAUCUUUCUCUUCUUGGCUGCUCCGGGGCAUUUGCUGCUGCUGCUGGCUUUUCCCACGCCGCCGGUAAUUCCUCCUCACGAGGUUCUUGUAGUUCUCAUUCUUCUUGGUCAGGUAGUAGUACAGGACGCAGUCUGCCACCGUCUUCCUGUCCAGAAAGGAGGCAAU